rnacentral:lncRNA from 1 species
GCGAUUUAUGUAAAUUGAUAGUUAACUGGCUGAAGAAUUGCCUACGUGGUAACCUAAUUCAGAAAGCCUUUGAAAAAGUUGCAUCACUGGUAUGCUCAAAGUUUCCGUUCGUGGAAAAUCAUUGCAAAGAAACCAUCCGCAAAUUUCUGGGGGAAAUCACCUACUGCAUUGUGAAUGUUGAACCUGCGAAGCGAAUCUGUGUGAUAUUCAGCAUAUGCUCCCCUUGGCAGGUGACCAAGAAACUGGGACCUUACUCCACCCCGGGGAGAAGCACAGAGUCUCCAGCAGGCACCGCCAGCUCCUGCCUUCCUAAAUCCAGGACGGACCCUCCAGUUUCUCUCAGCUAGCUCCCUGCAGUGCUGUCCCCUGGCAGGAGAAUAAAAUGUCUUGCAAGCUUUUGGCCA